CCCACUUUACAAAUAAUGAAACUAAGGCUCAAAGAUUUGCUCUGUAUCCCACAAAAGACAGGCAGUUUCAGUCCAGGUUUCCUGACUUUUCAUCUGAGGCUCAUAGUAUGAUAUCCUGACUUGCAUUCUGUUCAGACACAGCAAAAACUGAAACAUUCCCCAGAGUAUGUAUCUUCAAGAAAGAAAAUGAUCUCAAAGAAGAAGAAAAGAAAUUGAUUUCUUAAACGGACCUAGGAGAGCAAAAGGGCCAAGAAUAACUGAGAAGCGAUUCUGAAAAAGUAGAACGUGGAACAACUUGCCCUACCAGGUCAGCAUGAUUUCCCUACCUCGGACGCAGAAGACAGAGCUCUCGUCAGCUGCUGAGGUGUCGCUGGCACACAAGUGCAUGUGCUUGUGUGGACGUGUGAAGUCCCGUCAACAAAAGGGGAGCCGGGUGAUUCGCUGGCACUUGACAUCAGGGUAUUGAGAAACAGUCUGUAAUACAAAUGGCUUUAAAAUGCCCACAUCCUCACGUGUAGACGGGCAGGCUGUGCGUGUGGGAGACCGUAUACCUGCUGGCGAGGGCUAGUAUAGCCUCCCUGUACUGCCAUAGGGGCUCACACACCUGUGUGCUUCUAAUCAGGGUGUCAGCAAGUACGAGAGCCAGGGCAAAGACUCCAAGAAAAUGCUGGAAAGAGGGAGAGAUGGGAUAUCAACCAUUAGACUUGGCAUCCCUCUCUUCUAAGAGAACUGGUUUGGCCUCACUUUCUCAGAAACCCAGAGAGGCUCGCUGCUCUUGUUCUCCUGUGAAUGAGCAACAAAAUCAAGUA